rnacentral:tRNA from 1 species
GCCGGAAUGGUGGAAUUGGUAGACACGCUUGGUUUAGGACCAAGUGCCGCAAGGCGUGGAGGUUCGAGUCCUCUUUCCGGCACCA